rnacentral:rRNA from 1 species
GACGAAGGUGGCUAGCGUUGUUCGGUAUCACUGGGCUUAAAGAGUGUGUAGGCGGAAAGGUAAGCGUUUUGUGAAAGCCCCCGGCUUAACCGGGGAAUUGCUUGACGAACUGCCUUUCUUGAGGCAAGUAGGGGUGCAUGGAACUCUUGGUGGAGCGGUGGAAUGCGUAGAUAUCAAGAGGAACGCCGGCGGUGAAAACGGUGCACUGGGCUUGUACUGACGCUGAGACACGAAAGCGUGGGGAGCGAACGGGAUUAGAUACCCCCGUA